CACGUAACUUGAAGUGAGAACAGUCCAAAAGGCAAACUAAACGGAUCUUUAAUUCCUCCUUUGCCACAAAGCAUAAAAAUCCUUCACUGAAUUUAUUUUACUGAAAAUUUCCCCCAACUCAGGGUGCUCUACAUUUUUGUCUUUUGUGUCAUUCUUUGUUUUUAGACCCCCAAGCUCCUUGGGGUAAGGACUUUGUCAUUAAUUUAGCACAGCUGAAUAUAUUACAUGGUGCCAUGUGUAUUUAUAGAAGUUUGCUAAGUAAUGAUGAUUCAGAUUUGGUAAUCAGCACUUGAGAUGAUCAUAUGGUUAUGCAGAUCAACACUUACUAUGCAAAAAUCAUUUCCUAUAGGGGCAGAUGUGCUGGUCUCCCUCUGGUAAAUUUUUAGAUCAGUAAAUUUCUUGCACUCUGAAAGUCAAUUUAGGAUUAUGCCUUUGAUUGUCAUCUUGUUGGCUAAGGGAACCAAGACUGCAGUAUCUUUCUAUGAUGCUAAGCUGCUGAAGAGCCUUGCAGUCCAACUGAAGACAAUCAAGAGGAAAUCCAUGGGUGAUCACGGGGAUGAGAACUCUGUGGAAGCCCUCCUACUCUGACAUUGUGGUUGUGUAAUGGACAUCUCGCAGACUCAUCCUGCACAAAAAACAUCAACAAUGCUUUAGCAAAAUAAGGAAUCUGUACAUAUAUUAAGGCUGGCAUUAAUGAAUUAUAAACAGCUAACUCGGAAAAAAAAUGGGAAAAGAGUGAUUAAAAUCUUUCUCUCUUUCAUACUCUGUAUACAGUGUUUCUCAAACUUUACCAUGCUCAGGUGUAAAUCACCUGAGGAUUUUGUUAAUGAAGACUGUGAUUGAGUAGAUCCAGGACAGAGCCUGAGAGUCCCCAUUACUAACAAGCUCCUAGGUGAUGUUGAUGUCUAUGAUCCAUGGACAUACCUGGGACAGUAUACUCAAGAAUGCAGGUAGAUUGUAACUACCUCUCUGGUGUCUGGGGAGUGGCAGCCUGGUCUGUAGAAACCACAAUGACGAUAGCACUUGCUAUCUCUUGCCCUGCUUUGGUCCUUAGCUCUAUUGUACUUUAACGUUAUAUCCAUUUUUUUUUUUACACAGCUAGGAAAAAGCUUUUUAUAGGAAGGGAUCAUGACUCAAUUUUUUGCCUCUCCAGGGCCUAUCAAAUGUUGGUCACUUAGAAAUGUUUAUGUUUGAUUACAAUGUUAAAGAAAAAAAUAUAUUUGGAAGAAAGCCUGUACUGAAACAGGGAAGUUUUUUUUAAAUACUCUUUUUUUGGCAAUAAUGUGAAUCAUUUUGUAAUCUAGCCAUAUUAUAUGUGCUAUGACAUUAGAAUUAUGUCAUAUUGGAAAAAGAAGAGCCAUGUCAUAUCAUAAAAUAUGAGAUUUGCCUUAUCAUAUACAUUAAUCUAUGGUAUAAUAGUGUUUUACUUAUUUUGAAAGAGAAAUACAUAGUAAUUCCAUUUAAAAUUUCAUUCCUACCUGAAACUG
rnacentral:lncRNA from 1 species